rnacentral:misc_RNA from 1 species
GAUGAAGAACGUAGCGAAAUGCGAUAAGUAGUGUGAAUUGCAGAAUUCAGUGAAUCAUCGAAUCUUUGAACGCACAUUGCGCCCCUUGGUAUUCCAUGGGACAUGCCUGUUCGAGCGUCAUUUGUACCUUCAAGCUCUGCUUGGUGUUGGGUGUUUGUCUCGCCUCUGCGUGUAGACUCGCCUCAAAACAAUUGGCAGCCGGCGUAUUGAUUUCGGAGCGCAGUACAUCUCGCGCUUUGCACUCAUAACGACGACGUCCAAAAGUACAUUUUUACACUCUUGACCUCGGAUCAGGUAGGGAUACCCGCUGAACUUAAGCAUAUCAAUAAGCGGAGGA